rnacentral:rRNA from 1 species
UACGGAGGAUCCAAGCGUUAUCCGGAAUCAUUGGGUUUAAAGGGUCCGUAGGCGGUUUUGUAAGUCAGUUGUGAAAGCCCAUCGCUCAACGGUGGAACGGCCAUUGAUACUGCAAGACUUGAAUUAUUAGGAAGUAACUAGAAUAUGUAGUGUAGCGGUGAAAUGCUUAGAGAUUACAUGGAAUACCAAUUGCGAAGGCAGGUUACUACUAAUAUAUUGACGCUGAUGGACGAAAGCGUGGGGAGCGAACAGG